UCCCUGGUGGCUCAGAUGGUAAAGAAUCUGUCUGCAAUGCAGGAGACCCGGGUUUGAUCCCUGGAUGGGGAA
rnacentral:tRNA from 1 species